UUCCUGUGAGCCAUGUAUGGGUUACCGUGCCGUCUGGUCGACGCUAGUCGGGUCUGUAAAUUUAUUCGCGUCCUCGAAUGUGCGACUUCGUUUCGAUUGUCUGUCCAGCUUUCUCACGGCACAGUUAAUUAAUUGUACGCUUGUUCCCACACGUGCGUUUAAGACGACUGUUCAUGUCAGGGACUGUGACUUUGCGUCUUUAAUACCGACUUCCCGCUGGUAGCGCCAUGUAAAGAUUUCACCGAAGACAGCACCACGUUGGCUGUGACCUAGUGGGCAGGACGCCUGGCUUGGCUGCUGGAGAUGCGUGGAUCGAUCACCGCUACCAGACUCCCUUACGUCAACACGACGCGCAGAAGCAACCCUCAGCCAAGCGUCCCGCUUUCCAGGGUUGCGUUGGUUGGAGUUAGAGAGAGAGAGACAGAAAGUCAAAGAUCCCCGAAUGAUGCAGGUGAUUGAGAUAACGCACCCCGCCUUUGCUUCGCGAGACUCCUUUGUACCCUGCGGUGCCUCAUCGUAGGAGCUGCACGGAGACUCUACCGUACGUUAGGUCCUCACGAAAUCGAGUGAACAUGUCAGAAAGUCAACGAAGAAUCUUGCUGUUGGCAAGAAUAAAGUUGGGAGGCAAUUGAAUACCCUACCUUGGGCUUGUGGCCGCGGAAAAUCACUGCCACUGCGUCAUCGGAGCGGGGAACAAACAUCUUGCUCUAAAACAACGGCAGUAGCACUGCUACGAAGAACGCAUCAACUAUCCCGCCAAAUAGGAAUGAGUGAACGCCGUCUUCAUUCAUGAUUUCACGGUGAAAUGGUACGGGAACGUUGUUCCUCGCAGGUGUACCUCUCUCCUGGAGCAGCGAAAUGAACAGCAUCCUCUGCCACAUGCUCAUGGCAGACAAGACGUGCCAGCUGCGAACAACGUAGGCGACACAUUGAUCCAGCCUUUUCGGUGGAAUGAACAGUCCGUUGAACAUGACGUCUCUGCGCAACUUACUACUCCACUUGAGAUGUCGUUUGAAGAGGAUGUCCAGUAAGUUCCAGAGCAGCGCGCUCCGCGAAAGCGGCGAUGAUGGCAAGGAUCUCCCCACCACGGACUUCGUAAACGAGAGUCCCUCGAGGAGGAGCAACUUUGUGCGUGGUCCGUCGCACUGCCGCUGGAGCACUCGGGCUAGAGCGGUCCAACACGAACGUCAGGUGUCGAACCUGCGUUAGACAGGUCACAUCUACUGUAACGACGAAGUGGCCACUGACACCAUUGCCCACAAUUCUGGCAUACGCGUAGUUACCCAAAUAUAAAACGAAAAACACUCCAAGCAGCACUGUCAAUAAGGCGUGAAUUACGACAGUAAUGGUGACGUGUAACGCCGAUGAUGUGCGCGAUAACUCCCAGGUCACGUUCCACGAGUUGAAUAUAGGCGUUGGCAGGGCCAGCUCCCGUGUAGCUUAAGGACAUUAGCGAAGGGGGGUCAUCGGAAUACAGAACCGAUGAUACGGGGGCUAACCUCAUUAACGAGUUCAGGAAAGUCAGGAAGUCAAAUGUUCGUCGAAUACUGGGGUUGACAUGGAUAGCUCACAAAAUCAAAAGGUGGGCGAAGUCUGAGGUAAGUGAUUCUCCGCGUGUCGCGAAUGCGCCGCCAUCUUUUGAGCAGGAACGCAUCACUGCUGCCGUUGUCGCUCGCUUAUACUUUCGUUCUUCACCACCAGCUCAUCUAACGUAACGUAGACUAAGGCACGACACUAUCUAUCACGCAGCCUAACACGCAACACAAGUUCUACUGCUUUCAUUAACCACUUGCAAGAGCUCUGUCGUCUCGUGCUGAUCUGGUUUCGGUGUGUAAAUCUGCUCAAGUAGAAAAUAUUGGCACAUAACGGCAGGCUGGGUGCAACUGGGCACGUUCAAGUGUUCCAAGUUGUCGGUCACGCGUACUAGCAAAAUCUGCGCAUGACCGUUAGCAAGGCCUCGAGCGUAAAAAGGAAGCUUAUAACUUCCUGCGUUUCUGGAUGAAAGAUGGCGCCCUUGAUGAGACUAAGACUGACUCUCGAUGAGGCUAAGGUUGUGCAGCGUGUUCCCUGGCGCAGCCUUGGGAGUCGUGCGAAGUCUUGCGAAAGAAAUAUCACUCCGAAAGCCUUUCCUCUAGAAUAUUGUCCCCGUAGUUUUGUGAAAAUGGCGCUAGGAGCACACUAAAACGGCUUUAUUGGUUAGUGAAAACAUAUUUCGCGAAUAGCACAUGCUAGUGUGAACAUCUCAGCCAAAUUUUCUGGUCGUACGCGACCCGUAGGUCACUUUUUCCUCACGUUCUCCGUGUUGAAGCAAGGCCGCCUUCCCAUCCGUUUCUAAAUUCCUAACGGCUUGCACACAUGCUUAGAUGUUUCGGCAGGUGCUGAAAUUCUCAUGUAUCAUAGAAUCCUGCUAUUGGCUCAUAGCUGGCGAUAAUAACGCUGUCACGAUCAUUUCACUUCUUCCCACUGUUACUGUGCAAUUUAUUGACGCAGUUUAAAAAAUUCACUCGCUGUGGCGGCCCUGCGAAAAUGGAUAUCCAACUGCAACUACAGAGGAGGGGUAUGCAGUACUUUAUUGUUUGGGAUUAAUAGGAAUGAUAAUGUAUAGUAAUUUGAAUAAUGGGAGUAAUGGUAAUCUUGCUCCUAUGCCGACACUGGUCUUACUGCCGUUUCCUUCCCUUUGCCACUCACACCUCGUAUUUACGGUCCUGCCGUGAGUCAUAUGUGUUGACUACCCAUAGCAAAAUGCUAGUGACACGAAUUCCCACGUUGAAAGCUGCCGUCGCCUUAGCAGCCUGUGCAACAGGAAUCUUUACAAGGAAUCGUAUAUGGGAAGCGCUACGUGCUUCGCACUGUAAUGGGGAGCGCCUUAUCAUCAAAUAUGCGGUUCGGAUGUUUGUUUUCUGCAUGGUCUUUAUUGAAACGAAUGAUUUUCUGCAUAUUGCAUGCGUGAUUUCAAGGACUGUACUAUUUUCGCUUUACUUUGCUGUGUGCUUGAAGCCUGAUUCACCUCCGACGUGAUUCGACCGUGUGAUGCACUACCUCCAGGAUCGGCCCACAGUUUUGCUGCCCGCGGAGAUGGACGCGAAAAAUGCCGACCAACGAGAGCCAAGCAGCUUCGCCGUAAUGAACAGGCUGAAGUAAGCGAAAUGCGUUUCAAAUUUCGUCAAGAGUUGCACACUUCCCAAAGUACGAUUAUCGUAUACGUACUACCGCAAUAUAUUACCAGCUAACGUUCAACCACGAUCACCCGCGUAACACUGAAGCUUUGACCACGCGGCUUAGCGGCUAUCGCGUACCUUAGGUCUCGCUAACUUGAAUUAGUUUUGAAUACGCAACUAGCCUCGACCCACGCACAAAUUUAGGAUCAGGCCACAUGUACGCUUGACAGCACGUGCUCGCACUUGGCUAGAAGUAUUGGCAGAGUUUGCUUUGUAUUGAGCAAUUGCGCAAACCGCAGAAUUUCGAUGCGGCUACUAUUCGUCGGUCAAACUGGCGCAGCUCUAAAAAGCCGUUUCCCAAGGCGUCUAGCCAGGAGCAACCAGGAGCGAGAGGCACUGGGCAGGUGUAGUCUGGCCUGGACUUUGGUGUUGUCACAGGCUAGUUGAGUGCCCAAACUAGCACAAUUUCACAAGGCCCGAUGGCUAAUACAUUGACAUGCAGUGGGGCCAUCGUUUCCUGGCUACUCAAACGUUCUGGUGUAAGUAGACGAUCACAAUCAAUGUAUUUUAUGUCAAAAACAGGGAUAAUUAGGUGAUAUUUAUAUACAGAAGGAUAGUCCCGUAGUUAGAAUCUUAAAUCAGGCCUCCUGUGCAUAACACUUAUUCAGACCACCACGGCAACUUGCGAAAUCUUCGAUAGCAAAAUGGUUUAUGAUGCAGGGCACAAAGGAGCACAAAAACAGCAGUUUAAUGCCUUUAACAAUAACAAGGCUGUGGAUUUGUAAAUAUUAGAGAAAAUACUUAGAACUGUUCUUCAAAAUUAGAGCAUAACCCCUGAUAAAGGAAAGUUGGAUGAAGUUGAAAGUGCUGAAGUUCUGUAUUAAACUUGUGAGCGUUCAGCAAUUUUACAGAAAUUGGUAAUGCGUACCAGAGAGCAAGCUGAGGAGAGUGAUGACUUCUUGCGUAAUUUGUGCGAACGCUCGAAAGAAUAAAGUUAUUUUCUGCAAAUCUAGCUUUGUUUGUAUUAAGAUGAGAUUCCCUUGCUAUGAUGGCUACUGGAAUAUUGUCUCUCCAUGCCCUAAAAAUAAUAAUGGAAAAGUUAUAUUUAACAGUAUCAGUCACGCUCAAUAUAUUACGUGCAUGUAUUACCUGAUGUGCACUCGUGCUACGAGGCGUUAGGUUACUUAUUUUUCCCUAUGAUUCAGUGAUAAAGCUAAUGUCAAGGUCAACACAAAAGCACAAUGAAGUGUCAUGAGCAUGAAAAAUGAGAAAUAAGGCCAUGCCUUAAUUAGAACACGUGCGUACACCAUUUUCUCUAGUCCCGUCAGCUAUAUGAAGGUCCAAUUUCAGAAGGCGCUUUUUAAGCUUGUAGCGCAGCUCAGAAAGAGCAAAAAGAAGGUGGUAGGGGUAACGAAAUGGAACGGA